GAAAUGCGAUAAGUAAUGUGAAUUGCAGAAUUCAGUGAAUCAUCGAAUCUUUGAACGCACCUUGCGCCCCUCGGUCAUCCGAGGAGCACGCCCGUUCGAGUAUCACGUUAACCUCUUGCUUACUGUAGUAAUACGGUCUGCGAGGACUUGGGUGCUGCCGGCCCUGCGUCGGCUCGCCUCGAAAUGCAUUAGUGGGGACCUGCCCUGCGCGGUGUUGAUAAUUGUCUACGUCGUGUCGGUGUCGGCUCUUUGCUUCGAACUUCCCUAGGGAAACUUUUCAAAGUUUGAUCUCGAAUCGGGUGGGACUACCCGCUGAACUUAA
rnacentral:misc_RNA from 1 species